ensembl:lncRNA PROX1-AS1 PROX1 antisense RNA 1
CUCUCUCUCUCUCUAUCUCUCUCUCUCUCUUUUUUUUCCCCCGGCAGAGAGAGGAAAACACGCGAGUGCACACACGGUGAUAUCUUGCGGGUGAUGAAUAUGAUAAUUGGACAAGGGACGGACAGAAGAGCUCCUUGGCACUGGAUGCCUCCGGGUCUGGUUGAGAGAGGAAUGGUUAGGAGACUGUUCUGAGGAUACGCAGACAUCAUCCAAAGCUUCCUACAUUCAGAUGAGGACAGAGGUUGGGCCAGAGCUUUGUAAGCUUGUUACCUAAGGAUGGUUCUGACCAUGUAAGCAGAUCACAGAAGCUAUUCACAGAUCAUCAUCAGCCAGAGGUGACUUCUGUUGCUUGCAGCUCAGAAUCCUAGAUGUUUCCGGUGGCACUGAAGAGCCUCUGCUGAAGCUCUAUACCAUUUGCCAUUUACAAAGGGAAAUGAAAUAAUAACGCUGACCAUUUGUGGAGCACAUUCUGUCUGGAGGCAAAGGAUGCCAAGAUGGGAAAGCCACAUAAUGGAAGGAUCCUGGAUUUCAGAGCUGUCACUUGGAGGAGGGGCACCCAGUGAAGGUGUCUUAUCUAACCCACACCAUAUCUUCAUGAAGUGGCCAUAUGGAUUUGAUCCCUAUCCUUCAGAGGUGCUCAGCCUAAGGGAACACGGAUAGUAGAUUAAGCACUGACCAGGGGUAUAAAUCCUGCCUUCUCUCAGCCUUACAGAGGAAGAAAACCCUUUCCAAGUUUCCUCUGAUACUGGGUUUAUGCCCAAUUAUAGUUUAGCCUUUCUCUUUACUCAUUGGACUCAGAGCCAGCCUUGACAAUGUGCUGAUGGCAACCU